GGUAGCGCAAUCACUUGUCUUUUAAAUGAAGACCUGUAUGAAUGGUGGAACGAGGGCUUAACUGUCUCCCUUUUUAGGUCAAUGAAAUUGAUCUGUCCGUGCAGAAGCGGACAUAAAUAUACAAGACGAGAAGACCCUUUGGAGCUUAAGACAUAAAGCCAAUUACGUCAAUAACCUCUUUAAAUGAGAACAAAACAAAGUAACAACUGACCAAUGUCUUCGGUUGGGGCGACCACGGGGGAAAAACAAGCCCCCAUGUGGACUGGGACAACCUAAAACCAAGAGGGACACCUCUAAGUCACAGAACAUCUGACCAAAAGAUCCGGUAUUUUAACCGAUCAACGAACUAAGUUACCCUAGGGAUAACAGCGCAAUCCCCUCCAAGAGUCCAUAUCGACAAGGGGGUUUACGACCUCGAUGUUGGAUCAGGACAUCCUAAUGGUGCAGCCGCUAUUAAGGGUUCGUUUGUUCAACGAUUAA
rnacentral:rRNA from 1 species